rnacentral:rRNA from 1 species
UUUUAUGAGAGUUUGAUCCUGGCUCAGGACGAACGCUGGCGGCGUGCCUAAUACAUGCAAGUCGAACGCUUCUUUUUCCACCGGAGCUUGCUCCACCGGAAAAAGAGGAGUGGCGAACGGGUGAGUAACACGUGGGUAACCUGCCCAUCAGAAGGGGAUAACACUUGGAAACAGGUGCUAAUACCGUAUAACAAUCGAAACCGCAUGGUUUUGAUUUGAAAGGCGCUUUCGGGUGUCGCUGAUGGAUGGACCCGCGGUGCAUUAGCUAGUUGGUGAGGUAACGGCUCACCAAGGCCACGAUGCAUAGCCGACCUGAGAGGGUGAUCGGCCACAUUGGGACUGAGACACGGCCCAAACUCCUACGGGAGGCAGCAGUAGGGAAUCUUCGGCAAUGGACGAAAGUCUGACCGAGCAACGCCGCGUGAGUGAAGAAGGUUUUCGGAUCGUAAAACUCUGUUGUUAGAGAAGAACAAGGAUGAGAGUAACUGUUCAUCCCUUGACGGUAUCUAACCAGAAAGCCACGGCUAACUACGUGCCAGCAGCCGCGGUAAUACGUAGGUGGCAAGCGUUGUCCGGAUUUAUUGGGCGUAAAGCGAGCGCAGGCGGUUUCUUAAGUCUGAUGUGAAAGCCCC